GCAUUGGUGGUUCAGUGGUAGAAUGCUCACCUUCGAUUUGGGAGACCCAGGUUCAAUUCCUGGCCAAUGCA